rnacentral:rRNA from 1 species
GGGUUGUGAGGUUAAGCGACUAAGCGUACACGGUGGAUGCCCUGGCAGUCAGAGGCGAUGAAGGACGUGCUAAUCUGCGAAAAGCGCCGGCGAGGUGAUAUGAACCCUUGACCCGGCGAUGUCCGAAUGGGGAAACCCAGUGCAAUUCGUUGCACUAUCGUUAACUGAAUACAUAGGUUAACGAGGCGAACCGGGGGAACUGAAACAUCUAAGUACCCCGAGGAAAAGAAAUCAACCGAGAUUCCCCCAGUAGCGGCGAGCGAACGGGGAGCAGCCCGGAGUCUGAAUCAGCUUGUGUGUUAGUGGAACGGUCUGGAAAGUCCGACGGUACAGGGUGAUAGUCCCGUACACGAAAACACACUUGCUGUGAACUCGAAGAGUAGGGCGGGACACGUGGUAUCCUGUCUGAAUAUGGGGGGACCAUCCUCCAAGGCUAAAUACUCCUGACUGACCGAUAGUGAACCAGUACCGUGAGGGAAAGGCGAAAAGAACCCCGGCGAGGGGAGUGAAAAAGAACCUGAAACCGUGUACGUACAAGCAGUGGGAGCCUCUUUAUGGGGUGACUGCGUACCUUUUGUAUAAUGGGUCAGCGACUUAUAUUCUGUAGCAAGGUUAACCGUAUAGGGGAGCCGAAGGGAAACCGAGUCUUAACUGGGCGUUAAGUUGCAGGGUAUAGACCCGAAACCCGGUGAUCUAGCCAUGGGCAGGUUGAAGGUUGGGUAACACUAACUGGAGGACCGAACCGACUAAUGUUGAAAAAUUAGCGGAUGACCUGUGGCUGGGGGUGAAAGGCCAAUCAAACCGGGAGAUAGCUGGUUCUCCCCGAAAGCUAUUUAGGUAGCGCCUCGUGAACUCAUCUUCGGGGGUAGAGCACUGUUUCGGCUAGGGGGCCAUCCCGGCUUACCAACCCGAUGCAAACUACGAAUACCGAAGAAUGUUAUCACGGGAGACACACGGCGGGUGCUAACGUCCGUCGUGAAGAGGGAAACAACCCAGACCGCCAGCUAAGGUCCCAAAGUCAUGGUUAAGUGGGAAACGAUGUGGGAAGGCACAGACAGCCAGGAUGUUGGCUUAGAAGCAGCCAUCAUUUAAAGAAAGCGUAAUAGCUCACUGGUCGAGUCGGCCUGCGCGGAAGAUGUAACGGGGCUAAACCAUGCACCGAAGCUGCGGCAGCGACACUAUGUGUUGUUGGGUAGGGGAGCGUUCUGUAAGCCGUUGAAGGUGUGCUGUGAGGCAUGCUGGAGGUAUCAGAAGUGCGAAUGCUGACAUAAGUAACGAUAAAGCGGGUGAAAAGCCCGCUCGCCGGAAGACCAAGGGUUCCUGUCCAACGUUAAUCGGGGCAGGGUGAGUCGACCCCUAAGGCGAGGCCGAAAGGCGUAGUCGAUGGGAAACAGGUUAAUAUUCCUGUACUUGGUGUUACUGCGAAGGGGGGACGGAGAAGGCUAUGUCAGCCGGGCGACGGUUGUCCCGGUUUAAGCAUGUAGGCGGAGGUUCCAGGUAAAUCCGGUACCUUAUUAACGCUGAGGUGUGAUGACGAGGCACUACGGUGCUGAAGUGAUAAAUGCCCUGCUUCCAGGAAAAGCCUCUAAGCAUCAGGUAACACGAAAUCGUACCCCAAACCGACACAGGUGGUCAGGUAGAGAAUACCAAGGCGCUUGAGAGAACUCGGGUGAAGGAACUAGGCAAAAUGGUGCCGUAACUUCGGGAGAAGGCACGCUGAUAGGUAGGUGAAGUCCCUGCGGACGGAGCUGAAAUCAGUCGAAGAUACCAGCUGGCUGCAACUGUUUAUUAAAAACACAGCACUGUGCAAACACGAAAGUGGACGUAUACGGUGUGACGCCUGCCCGGUGCCGGAAGGUUAAUUGAUGGGGUUAGCGGCAACGCGAAGCUCUUGAUCGAAGCCCCGGUAAACGGCGGCCGUAACUAUAACGGUCCUAAGGUAGCGAAAUUCCUUGUCGGGUAAGUUCCGACCUGCACGAAUGGCGUAAUGAUGGCCAGGCUGUCUCCACCCGAGACUCAGUGAAAUUGAACUCGCUGUGAAGAUGCAGUGUACCCGCGGCAAGACGGAAAGACCCCGUGAACCUUUACUAUAGCUUGACACUGAACACUGGUCCUUGAUGUGUAGGAUAGGUGGGAGGCUUUGAAGCGUGGACGCCAGUCUGCGUGGAGCCGGGUUGCGGACAGUGUCUGGUGGGUAGUUUGACUGGGGCGGUCUCCUCCCAAAGAGUAACGGAGGAGCACGAAGGUUGGCUAAUCCUGGUCGGACAUCAGGAGGUUAGUGCAAUGGCAUAAGCCAGCUUGACUGCGAGCGUGACGGCGCGAGCAGGUGCGAAAGCAGGUCAUAGUGAUCCGGUGGUUCUGAAUGGAAGGGCCAUCGCUCAACGGAUAAAAGGUACUCCGGGGAUAACAGGCUGAUACCGCCCAAGAGUUCAUAUCGACGGCGGUGUUUGGCACCUCGAUGUCGGCUCAUCACAUCCUGGGGCUGAAGUAGGUCCCAAGGGUAUGGCUGUUCGCCAUUUAAAGUGGUACGCGAGCUGGGUUUAGAACGUCGUGAGACAGUUCGGUCCCUAUCUGCCGUGGGCGCUGGAGAAUUGAGGGGGGCUGCUCCUAGUACGAGAGGACCGGAGUGGACGCAUCACUGGUGUUCGGGUUGUCAUGCCAAUGGCACUGCCCGGUAGCUAAAUGCGGAAGAGAUAAGUGCUGAAAGCAUCUAAGCACGAAACUUGCCCCGAGAUGAGUUCUCCCUGAGACUUUAAGUCUCCUGAAGGAACGUUGAAGACGACGACGUUGAUAGGUCGGGUGUGUAAGCGCAGCGAUGCGUUGAGCUAACCGAUACUAAUGAACCGUGAGGCUUAACCUUACAACGCCGAAG